AGUUCAGAUUGCAGGCUGCAACUCGCCUGCAUGAAGUUGGAAUUGCUAGUAAUCGCGAACCAGAAUGUCGCGGUGAAUACGUUCCCGGGCCUUGUACACACCGCCCGUCACACCAUGAGAGUCGAUAACACCCGAAGCCUGUGAGCUAACCGCAAGGGGGCAGCAGUCGAAGGUGGGGUUGAUGAUUGGGGUGAAGUCGUAACAAGGUAAC
rnacentral:rRNA from 1 species